CCUACGGGUGGCAGCAGUGGGGAAUAUUGGACAAUGGGGGGAACCCUGAUCCAGCCAUGCCGCGUGUGUGAAGAAGGCCCUCGGGUUGUAAAGCACUUUCAGUGAGGAAGAACGCCUGGUGGUUAAUACCCAUCAGGAAAGACAUCACUCACAGAAGAAGCACCGGCUAACUCCGUGCCAGCAGCCGCGGUAAUACGGAGGGUGCGAGCGUUAAUCGGAAUUACUGGGCGUAAAGCGCGCGUAGGUGGCUUGAUAAGCCGGUUGUGAAAGCCCCGGGCUCAACCUGGGAACGGCAUCCGGAACUGUCAAGCUAGAGGGCAGGAGAGGAAGGUAGAAUUCCCGGUGGAGCGGUGAAAUGCGGAGAGAUCGGGAGGAAUACCAGUGGCGAAGGCGGCCUUCUGGACUGACACUGACACUGAGGUGCGAAAGCGUGGGUAGCCAACAGGAUUAGAUACCCCUGUAGUC
rnacentral:rRNA from 1 species